rnacentral:rRNA from 1 species
GACGAACGCUGGCGGCGUGCUUAACACAUGCAAGUCGAACGGAAAGGCCCUGCUUUUGUGGGGUGCUCGAGUGGCGAACGGGUGAGUAACACGUGAGUAACCUGCCCUUGACUUUGGGAUAACUUCAGGAAACUGGGGCUAAUACCGGAUAGGAGCUCCUGCUGCAUGGUGGGGGUUGGACAGUUUCGGCGGUUGGGGAUGGACUCGCGGCUUAUCAGCUUGUUGGUGGGGUAGUGGCUUACCAAGGCUUUGACGGGUAGCCGGCCUGAGAGGGUGACCGGGCACAUUGGGACUAAGAUACGGCCCAGAGUCCUACGGGAGGCAGCAGUGGGGAAUAUUGCACAAUGGGCGGAAGCCUGAUGCAGCAACGCCGCGUGCGGGAUGACGGCCUUCGGGUUGUAAACCGCUUUCGCCUGUGACGAAGCGUGAGUGACGGUAAUGGGUAAAGAAGCACCGGCUAACUACGUG